AGCAGCCGCGGUAAUUCCAGCUCCAAUAGCGUAUAUUAAAGUUGUUGCAGUUAAAAAGCUCGUAGUUGAAUUUCGGGAUUAGUAAGUUGGUCGUGCCUCUGGUAUGUACUGGCUUUACUGGUUCCUCCUUCUUGAAGAACUGUAAUGUUAUUAAUUUGGUGUUGCAGGGAAACAGGACUGUUACUUUGAAAAAAUUAGAGUGUUUAAAGCAGGCUAACGCUUGAAUACAUUAGCAUGGAAUAAUGAAAUAGGACGUUUGAUCCUAUUUUGUUGGUUUCUAGGAUUGACGUAAUGAUUAAUAGGGAUAGUUGGGGGCAUUAGUAUUCAAUUGUCAGAGGUGAAAUUCUUGGAUUUAUUGAAGACUAACUACUGCGAAAGCAUUUGCCAAGGAUGUUUUCAUUAAUCAAGAACGAAAGUUAGGGGAUCGAAGACGAUCAGAUACCGUCGUAGUCUUAACCAUAAACUAUGCCGACUAGGGAUCGGAUGAUGUUAAUUUUUAAUGACUCAUUCGGCGCCUUAC
rnacentral:rRNA from 1 species